rnacentral:rRNA from 1 species
UACGAAGGGGGCUAGCGUUGCUCGGAAUCACUGGGCGUAAAGGGUGCGUAGGCGGGUCUUUAAGUCAGGGGUGAAAUCCUGGAGCUCAACUCCAGAACUGCCUUUGAUACUGAAUAUCUUGAGUUCGGGAGAGUGAGUGGAACUGCGAGUGUAGAGGUGAAAUUCGGUAGAUAUUCGCAAGAACACCAGUGGCGAAGGCGGCUCACUGGCCCGGGUAUGACGCUGAGGUGCGAA